GCGGCCGACCGAGAACGCAGCAUCCACG
rnacentral:piRNA from 1 species